GGCGACAUAGCCAAGUGGUAAGGCAGGGGUCUGCAAAACCCUUACUCCCCGGUUCGAAUCCGGGUGUCGCCUCCA
rnacentral:tRNA from 1 species